UGGAGUGCUUAGCCUCCUGGAGUGGGCUUUAGGCCUGCCUGGAGUGCUUUAGGCCUCCGGUGCUUUAGGGCCUGCCUGGAGUGCUUUAGGCCUGCCUGGAUGCUGUAGCCUGCUGGAGUGCUUUAGGCCUCCCUGGAGUGCUUAGGCCUGCUGUAUGCUUUAGCCUGCCUGGAGUGUUUAGGCCUGCCUGGAGGUCUUUAGGCCUGCCUGGAUGCUUUAGGCCUGCCUGGAGGGCUUUAGGCCUGCCUGGAGUGCUUUAGGCCGUGCCUGGAGUGCUUGAGGCACGGCCUGGGUCUUUGCCGGCCUGGGUGCUUUAGGCCUGCCUGGAGGGCUUAGGCCGCGCUGGAGUGCUUUAGGCCUGCAUGGAGUGCUUUAGGCCUGCCUGGAGUGUUUAGCCUGCCUGGAGUGCUUUAGGCCCUGCCUGGAGUGCUUGGCGAGGGCGUGCCUGGAGUGCUUUAGGCUGCCUGGAGUGCUUUAGGCCUGCCUGGAGUGCUUUAGGCCUGGAGUGUCUGGAGUGCUUUAGGCCUGCCUGGAGUGCUUUAGGCUGGGUGCCUGGAGUGCUUAGGCCUGCCUGGAAUGCCAGAUGGCACUAUUAUUCUGGUUAAACAGACCAGAUCAGUCAAGCCCAGUUAAAAUAUUGAAAUGAUUUCAAAUAGUAUUUGAACCCAGGUCUGACACACACACACACACACACACACAACAGCCUAUACAGAGUAUAUCAAUGAACAUUUCACACAAUAACAACAUUGAAAUGAAACUACUUUCCUCAUUCGUCUAGGAAAACCUAGUGAGAUGCUAAUGGCGUUUUUUAUGUAUCUUUAUUUUUAACAAGUUGUUACUACAACGCUAUGUAAGGUAAAAACAUGAACAUAUUGCUAUUGGAAUAAACAGGGUGGUUUACAUGUUCAGCUACCGUCUUCAGAUAAUGAAUAUAAACUCUCGCAACAAAAAACAGAAAGUUCCUCUCACUGUCAACAGGGUUUAUUU
rnacentral:lncRNA from 1 species